UAGUCCACGCCGUAAACGAUGAAUGCCAGCUGUCGGGGGGCAUGCCCUUCGGUGGCGCAGCUAACGCUUUAAGCAUUCCGCCUGGGGAGUACGGCCGCAAGGUUAAAACUCAAAGGAAUUGACGGGGACCCGCACAAGCGGUGGAGCAUGUUCUUUAAUUCGAAGCAACGCGAAGAACCUUACCCACACUUGACAUCCUUCUUGGGAUUUUCAGAGAUGAUUGUCUUCGGUUCGGCCGGGGAAGUGACAGGUGCUGCAUGGCUGUCGUCAGCUCGUGUCGUGAGAUGUUAGGUUAAGUCCUGCAACGAGCGCAACCCUUAUCGUAUGUUGCCAGCAUUUAGUUGGGCACUCGUGCGAGACUGCCGGUGACAAGCCGGAGGAAGGCGGGGACGACGUCAAGUCAUCAUGGCCCUUACGUGUGGGGCUAGAAACGUGCUACAAUGGGUAUGACAGUGGGCAUCCACUCCGCGAGGAGGCGCUAAUCCCUAAACGUACUCUCAGUUCGGAUUG
rnacentral:rRNA from 1 species